rnacentral:lncRNA from 1 species
UCAGCUGUUUGUUCUUUUGCUCUUUUUAGCUCUUUGCCCGACCAGACUUGCGACUAGAGAGGGACCAAGCAACCCGAAAUCGGACCUGUUGGAAUGUGAUUUUAAAUUUAUAAUUACAGUUUACUGCAUGAGUGUGCCUCAAAAUCAAUGUAAUGAAAAAGUGUGAUUGCAUUUGCCAGGUUUACCAUUUUAUGAUCUGAUAUCUGGAUUGGGUUUGGGAAGGAGUGAUUCAGGUUUGAGGAACCCCGGAAACCCAUCUGUUUGUUCUUUUUGGCUUUUUAGCUCCUUGGCCCGAGACUUGAGAAUCACCUGAGAGGGACCAGGCAAACUGAAACUGGACCUGUCUAGUUGGAAUCCGAUUUUAAAUUUAAAAAUACGGUUUUACUACAUGAGUGUGCCUCGAAACCAAUAUAAUGAAAAAGGUACACCCUUGUCGGAGGACAUUUGUACGCUUAUUUAAAGUCGCUGUAACCGUGACUUUUAAAAUUUAUUUGCAGUAAUUGUGACACUAUUUUAUGCGUCGAAGGAGGCAAUCUUUUGAGAAGUCAAAAUAAGAAGAAAAAAACGCAUUUUAUCCACUUUAAAAAAAUUUUAACAAAAUUAAACUUCUUAGUUUAAAAUUAAACUUGUUAUGUUAAUAAUCUAGGAAAAUGAAAACAUUGAGGAAGAUGGUGUACAUAGAAUUUGAAUUGGGCAGGCAAAUUGGAGAUGUGCAAUCGGAAUUUUAUGUGAUUGUUGCGUACCAAUAAAACUACAAGGCUGGUUUUAUAGGAUAACUGUGAGAAUAGAUUUGCUUUAUGGGAUGGAAUGUUGGACGGUCAGAAAACAACAUCCCUAUAGAAUGAGUGUAAUGGAGAUGAUGAUGUUAAGAUAAACGAGUGACACGAUAAGAAGGGAUAUAAUUCAAAAAUUUAGGUGUGACCCCAAUAAGAGAUAAGAUGAGAUAGAGCAGAUUUAGGCGUGCUGCUCUUGUGUGGCGUAGAUCCAAUACAAUACCGGUUAGGAGGUACGAAUUAAUUUAAGUAGAAGGCUUAAAAAAGGCAAUGAGUAGGCCCAAAUGGAUAUGGUUGGAAGUAAUAAAAAAAAACAUUGAGACUUAUAGCCUCAGUGAUAACAUGACUCUUAUUAUAACAUAAUGAUGAAUCAGGAUUUAUGUAGCUUACCCAAUUAAGUAUUAAUUUUCAUUUAUCAAGUAUAUUAAUUUGCGCAUCGAUAGUACCAUGCAACAGGAUAGUACCAACACCCAAAUAUGAGGCUCAAAAGACAUUGUACACUUUUUAACUGCUCCGAGAAAAAGGGCGAAAGGGAAUCAAAAAAUUCAACUAACAGUUUAUAAUUUAUGUUUUUAUUGUAAAAAAAUAUAGACUUUAGCUCAAACGCCAAUCGACUGCUGUGACAACCCUGCUGGCCACUUAAUCAGUACGUUAUACCCAAGCAAAAUUCUGCCGUAGGUCGAUAUUUACAUCAUAAAUAUAUUUAUUCUUUUUAAUAAGUGUUUUGUGAGCCAAUCAACCUAUUGGAUGGUAUAGCGGGCUAGAAUGUUUAAAUACUUUUUUCAUUUUCAUCUUAUUUAUUUAUUGGAAAAGUGGUCUAUGCAUCGGGGGACGCAUAACUACAUUUGUUUCUCCUUAGGCAUUACACAUCCAUCUUAAAGAUAAUUGUGGAGUUAUGGUCUCUCUAAAAAAAAAAAAUGCAAUAUCAAGUGUUUGAAAAUUUCUUUUAAAACAUUAUCAUUUUAAUUUUAAAUUUUUUUUAUACAUUCAUGAUCUCCAUGGUAGAGAUUAUAUAUACCUACAACUUAAGUCCAAAUACCAAAAUCCAUCUUAAAAAUUGUGUGUCGUAUCUACAUAUGAAUUCUAGAACUCCUAUAUCGUUUUGAGCUGACAUUUAGGAAAUGGUGCAGUGGCUUAAGCCCACAAUAAAAACAUGUUACACAAUUUGUAUAGAAAAUAAAUAAGGAAAUGUAUGCAAUAUGACCAUUUGCAUAAGGCGGUAAGAAUCAUUUUUGGCUGUUAGAUUUAAAAGACCAAACGUGUAACAUUGACUAGACUCAAAGAUCAAAAAACAUUUCUCAAACUUUGUGAUAUGCUCUGAGCUAUUAGAUUUGACUUUUGAAGGUUAGAAUUAGUUGUGACCUCCUUAUUUCAAAAAUAAAUGAUCAUAUAGCAUACAACCCCAAUAAAUAAUUUGAUAAAAAAGUAGGCCAUCUAGUUUGGUAAAUCUCAUCAUCCGACCUAUCAGGAUCAUAAGCCAGCGGGCCCAUAAAAUAUAGAUCCCUCUCCAUUAAUUUACACUGCACAAUUCCCAUCAAACUAACAAAAGGUUUGAUACAAGGGUGUAGUUUAAGGUUGCAACCUUAAACAAUCCAAUUAAAGCACACCUCCAAACUUUAUUAUACCAUGUAAUUUUGAUGUAAAAAAUUAUUAGGAUUAUCUGAAUAUCUAUUUUCAUAUCUAAUGAUAAAAUUUAAAAAAUCUAAAAA